rnacentral:rRNA from 1 species
GACGAACGCUGGCGGCGUGCUUAACACAUGCAAGUCGAACGGUAAGGCCCUUCGGGGUACACGAGUGGCGAACGGGUGAGUAACACGUGGGUGAUCUGCCCUGCACUUCGGGAUAAGCCUGGGAAACUGGGUCUAAUACCGGAUAGGACCACUGCCUGCAUGGGUGGUGGUGGAAAGCUUUUGCGGUGUGGGAUGGGCCCGCGGCCUAUCGGCUUGUUGGUGGGGUGAUGGCCUACCAAGGCGACGACGGGUAGCCGGCCUGAGAGGGUGACCGGCCACACUGGGACUGAGAUACGGCCCAGACUCCUACGGGAGGCAGCAGUGGGGAAUAUUGCACAAUGGGCGCAAGCCUGAUGCAGCGACGCGGCGUGAGGGAUGACGGCCUUCGGGUUGUAAACCUCUUUCAGCACCGACGAAGCGCAAGUGACGGUAGGUGCAGAAGAAGGACCGGCCAACUACGUGCCAGCAGCCGCCGUAA